rnacentral:rRNA from 1 species
UACGUAGGGAGCAAGCGUUGUCCGGAAUCAUUGGGCGUAAAGCGCGCGUAGGCGGCCCGGUAAGUCCGUCGUGAAAGUCAAAGGCUCAACCUUUGAAUGUCGAUGGAUACUGCCGGGCUAGAGUCCGGAAGAGGCGAGUGGAAUUCCUGGUGUAGCGGUGGAAAUGCGCAGAUAUCAGGAGGAACACCAGUAGGCGAAGGCA